rnacentral:misc_RNA from 1 species
GAUGAAGAACGUAGCGAAAUGCGAUAAGUAAUGUGAAUUGCAGAAUUCCGUGAAUCAUCGAAUCUUUGAACGCACAUUGCGCCCCCUGGUAUUCCGGGGGGCAUGCCUGUCCGAGCGUCAUUGCAACCUUCACGCGCGGCUUGUGUGUUGGGUCUCGUCCCCCGUGGACGGGCCCGAAAGGCAGUGGCGGCGUCCCGACAUGGUGCCCGAGCGUAUGGGAAUCCUCUUCCGCUCGAAUCGGCCCAUGCGGCGCUGGUCGUAACCAAAUUUUUUACCGGUUGACCUCGGAUCAGGUAGGGAUACCCGCUGAACUUAAGCAUAUCAAUAAGCGGAGGA